rnacentral:rRNA from 1 species
GACGAACGCUGGCGGCGCGCCUAACACAUGCAAGUCGAGCGAAGCGGCGAACGGGUGAGUAACGCGUGAGGAACCUGCCUCUCACAACGGGAUAGCCUCGGGAAACCGGGAUUAAUACCGUAUGGUGAGAGAUGGCCUCGCGUCUGAUUAGUUAGUUGGUGGGGUAACGGCCUACCAAGACGACGAUCAGUAACCGGCCUGGGAGGCGGAACGGUCACAUUGGAACUGAGACACGGUCGAAAAUCCUACGGGAGGGAGGAGUGGGGAAUCUUGCAAAAUGGGGGGAACCCUGAUGCAGCGACGCCGGGUGAGCGAUGACAGUUGUCGAAUCGUAAAGCUCUGUCCUAUGGGAAGCGGUACCAUAGGAGGAAGCCCCGGCUAACUACGUGCCAGCAGCCGCGGUAAUUC